GCCACGGUAGCGGCUGUUGACUAUUCCAGUUGCUGACUUUCAUCGGAGAUAGCAAGGUGGCUGCCUGGCGAUCGCAGUCCUGCUUUUGUCCUUCUUUAUCUUUCCUUUACUGUAUUUUGGUGAGUCAAUUGGAAGGAAUGUCAUGGUGCCGGAAAUCGCGCAAUUUCUGCUCCAAUAGCAUAUAUUGAAGUUGUUGCAAAGAAGAAAAAGAUGUAGGUAUUUGGCGCAGUGUAAUGGAAUCGGAUUUGGAAAAGUAAUGUGUCCCAAUAAAUAACCUUAAACUUUAUGAUGUUGAAUGGGUAGUUAAGGUAUUAGUUAUUCGAAGAGGACCAAUAAUAAAAUAUAAGAACGACAAAGGAGAGGGUUUGUGUUGGCAUUUAACAUUUGUUGACGAAGA